rnacentral:sRNA from 1 species
UUUUCGCCUGAAUAAAAGAGGAUGAGAACCUCCGGAGGAGGUUUGCGCCGAGCGAAGCGAGACAACGUUGCGAACGCAACGGCCCGAAGGGGGCUUACGCAGUAAGCCUAAUCCUCUCUCGCCGACCA